rnacentral:rRNA from 1 species
UGGCCUUGACAUACUAAGAACUUUCCAGAGAUGGAUUGGUGCCUUCGGGAACUUAGAUACGGGUGCUGCAUGGCUGUCGUCAGCUCGUGUCGUGAGAUGUUGGGUUAAGUCCCGNAACGAGCGCUAACCCUUUUCCUUAUUUGCCAGCGGGUCAUGCCGGGAACUUUAAGGAUACUGCCAGUGACAAACUGGAGGAAGGCGGGGACGACGUCAAGUCAUCAUGGCCCUUACGGCCAGGGCUACACACGUGCUACAAUGGUCGGUACAAAGGGUUGCUACCUCGCGAGAGGAUGCUAAUCUCAAAAAGCCGAUCGUAGUCCGGAUCGCAGUCUGCAACUCGACUGCGUGAAGUCGGAAUCGCUAGUAAUCGCGGAUCAGAAUGCCGCGGUGAAUACGUUCCCGGGCCUUGUACACACCGCCCGUCACACCAUGGGAGUUUGUUGCACCAGAAGUAGGUAGUCUAACCGCAAGGAGGACGCUUACCACGGUGUGGCCGAUGACUGGGGUGAAGUCGUAACAAGGUAGGCGUAGAUGA